UACGUAGGGUGCGAGCGUUUGUCCGGAAUUACUGGGCGUAAAGAGCUCGUAGGUGGUUUGUCGCGUUGUUCGUGAAAACUCACAGCUUAACUGUGGGCGUGCGGGCGAUACGGGCAGACUGGAGUACUGCAGGGGAGACUGGAAUUCCUGGUGUAGCGGUGAAAUGCGCAGAUAUCAGGAGGAACACCGGUGGCGAAGGCGGGUCUCUGGGCCGAUACUGACGCUGGAGGAGCGAAAGCCGUGGGGAGCGAACAGG
rnacentral:rRNA from 1 species